rnacentral:rRNA from 1 species
CUACCAGGGUAUCUAAUCCUGUUUGCUACCCACGCUUUCGUAUCUCAGCGUCAAUGUUUGGCCAGAUAGCCGCCUUCGCCACCGGUGUUCCUCCAGAUAUCUACGUAUUUCACCACUACACCUGGAAUUCCACUAUCCUCUCCAACAUUCAAGCCAAGCAGUAUCAAAUGCACUUCCCGGGUUGAGCCCGGGGCUUUCACAUCUGACUUACAAGGCCGCCUACAUACUCUUUACGCCCAAUGAUUCCGAACAACGCUAGGACCCCUCGUAUUACCGCGGCGGCUGGCAC